GAUGAACGCUGGCGGCGUGCCUAAUACAUGCAAGUCGAGCGAACGGACGAUAAGCUUGCUUCUCUGAUGUUAGCGGCGGACGGGUGAGUAACACGUGGAUCACCUACCUAUAAUACUGGGAUAACUUCGGGAAACCGUAGCUGAUACCAGAUAAUAUUUUGAACCGCAUGAUUCAGAAGUGAAUGACGGUCUUGCUGUCUCUUAUAGAUGGAUCCGCGCUGCAUUAGCUAGUUGGUAAGGUAACGGCUUACCAAGGCAACGAUGCAUAGCCGAUCUGAGAGGAUGAUCAGCCACACUGGAACUGAGACACGGUCCAGACUCCUACGGGAGGCAGCAGUAGGGAAUAUUCGGCAAAGGGCGAAAGCCUGAUGGAGCAACGCCGCGUGAGUGAUGAAGGUCUUCGGAUCGUAAAACUCUGUUAUUAGGGAAGAACAGAUGUGUAAGUAACUGUGGACAUCUUGACGGUACCUAAUGAGAAAGCCACGGCUAACUUCGUG
rnacentral:rRNA from 1 species